rnacentral:rRNA from 1 species
UGGGGAAUAUUGCGCAAUGGGCGAAAGCCUGACGCAGCAACACCGCGUGAGGGAUGACGGCCUUCGGGUUGUAAACCUCUUUCAGCUCCGACGAAGCGAAAGUGACGGUAGGAGCAGAAGAAGCACCGGCUAACUACGUGCCAGCAGCCGCGGUAAUACGUAGGGUGCAAGCGUUGUCCGGAAUUAUUGGGCGUAAAGAGCUCGUAGGCGGUCCGUUGCGUCUGCCGUGAAAACCCGGAGCUCAACUCCGGGCCAUGCGGUGGAUACGGGCGGACUAGAGUCCGGUAGGGGAGACUGGAAUUCCUGGUGUAGCGGUGGAAUGCGCAGAUAUCAGGAGGAACACCGGUGGCGAAGGCGGGUCUCUGGGCCGGAACUGACGCUGAGGAGCGAAAGCGUGGGGAGCGAACAGGAUUAGAUACCCUGGUAGUCCACACCGUAAACGAUGAAUGCCAGUCGUCGGGUAGCAUGCUAUUCGGUG